CUCGACCGCGAUGAGCCCCGGCGGCCGCCAGGGGUCGCUGGACCGGCGCGCCGGCCGCCCUCUUCAUUCAUAAAUCCGGCCUCGCACCCCGCUGCUCCUUCCUCGCUCAGACCCCUCCUCCCCUCAAGCUGAGCCGGGACGACCCCGGAUGUGUGUAGGAGGGUUGCGGAUCCCUGGAGACCCCCGGAAGAGCAUGAGGGGUCUCCUUUAGAUCCCCACCGGGCGCCGACGGACCUGCUUCCCCAGCGGGACCUCACUGCAUCUCGGAGGCUGUGGGGCGGCGGUCGGAGGAGCGAGAGCGCGAAGGGUUCUUUAGGAACCUGACGGAAAGAGGGAAUCUCAGUUCUCUGACCAAGGAUUGAACCCAGGAUACAGCAAUGAAAGCAUCGAAUCCUAACCAGGCCACCAGGGGGAAAAAAAGGUUUUCAGAAACAUGUCAAGCUUUUCCUAAAGUCAUAUGAAAGAACAAUCAAGAGUCGUCAAGACAACUUUGAAGAUAUUGAACAGGGUGCGAAUGAUCCUCCAGGUGGAUUCUUUACGAUCUGAGCCACCAUGGAAGCCCAUGAAUACCGGAGUGGAUAGCCUACCCCUUCUCCAGGGGAUCUUCCCAACCCAGGAAUCCAAC
ensembl:lncRNA